AUGAGAAGGUCCAAAACCAAGUGAGCUGUGAGAUUGCAACAUACCGAGUUGUCCAAUUCUCUGUCCACAAUGCAGGCUUGCUAGGUGAAACAAUGUAAUAAUGGAAACUAACAAUUGGGUCUGGGGCAUCGUUUUGCUUGCACAUCAUCCAUGGAACACCUGUCUGGAGACCUACAGCCAUUUCAGCUGCCCAACGGACAUAACGUGGGCCACCUGAGCCAAAUGCAGGCUCAACCAUCUGGGUUCAUUGUCUGUUCGGAAGGUGAUGUUUGGAACAUCAUGUAGCCAAAAUGGAAACCCUCUGCAUGAACACAAGACCCAGCAUUUGUUCAGGUACUACUUCCUCCGUCCCAUAAUGUAAGAUCUUUUUUAACACUAGUGUAGUGUCAAAAAACGUCCUACAUUUUAGGACGGAGGGAGUACUUUUUAUCCACUUAGGUAUGUGCACUUGUAUGAAACAGUUUAGUCGUAGAGUUGUAUUCCGUACAACAUUUCAAAAGGGAAGAUGCUCAUCUAUGGUAGCAACUGCAUGCAUGCAAUGCACAUUUUUCUCUUCACAGAAAAAGGUAUUAAGCAUCUUUUUUGCAACUAUGAGGCAACGAUACUGAAACUUGGAGUAAUAAAGGGGCAGUUAACAUAGAAGUGAUUAGGAGUGAGUCAGUUCUGCAAACAGCCAUUGGAUUCAGAUUUAUAAAAUUGAAUAAACAUCUGCGGACAGUUCAGAUGAAGGUAUCCCAGCUUAACCCGUAUCUCUAUUAGUAGUAAAGAUAUAGAUAUAAAAUAUG